rnacentral:rRNA from 1 species
CGUGUAGGCGGUCGGUCAAGUCUGGUGUGAAAGCCCGGGGCUUAACUCCGGAAGUGCACUGGAAACUAGCCAGCUGGAGCGCGAGAGAGGAGGGUGGAAUUCCUGGUGUAGCGGUGAAAUGCGUAGAUAUCAGGAGGAACACCGGCGGCGAAGGCGGCCCUCUGGCUCGUUGCUGACGCUGAAACGCGAAAGCGUGGGGAGCAAACAGGAUUAGAUACCCUGGUAGUCCACGCUGUAAACGAUGGGUACUAGGUGUUCGGGGUAUUGACCCCCUGAGUGCCGGCGCUAACGCAUUAAGUACCCCGCCUGGGGACUACGGCCGCAAGGUUAA